CACGUAGGGUGCGAGCGUUGUCCGGAAUUAUUGGGCGUAAAGAGCUCGUAGGCGGUGUGUCGCGUCGGCCGUGAAAACCUGCAGCUUAACUGUGGGCUUGCGGUCGAUACGGGCAUCACUGGAGUUCGGCAGGGGGAGACUGGAAUUCCUGGUGUAGCGGUGAAAUGCGCAGAUAUCAGGAGGAACACCGGUGGCGAAGGCGGUUCUCUGGGCAUUACCUGACGCUGAGGAGCGAAAGUGUGGGGAGCGAACAGG
rnacentral:rRNA from 1 species